rnacentral:rRNA from 1 species
UACGUAGGUGGCAAGCGUUGUCCGGAAUUAUUGGGCGUAAAGAGCUCGUAGGCGGUGUGUCGCGUCGGCCGUGAAAACCUGCAGCUUAACUGUGGGCUUGCGGUCGAUACGGGCAUCACUGGAGUUCGGCAGGGGAGACUGGAAUUCUGGUGUAGCGGUGAAAUGCGCAGAUAUCAGGAGGAACACCGGUGGCGAAGGCGGGUCUCGUGGGCCGAUACUGACGCUGAGGCGACGAAGCCAGGGAGCAAACGGG